rnacentral:miRNA from 1 species
GAAGACACAUCGCUUUACCCUGGCCUUGGCCUUUGACACCAUAUAUAUAUAUGGUGUCAAAGGCCAGGGUAAAGCGAUGUGUCUUC